GAUGAACGCUGGCGGCGUGCCUAAUACAUGCAAGUCGAGCGAACGGAUGAGAAGCUUGCUUCUCUGAUGUUAGCGGCGGACGGGUGAGUAACACGUGGAUAACCUACCUAUAAGACUGAGAUAACUUCGGGAAACCGGAGCUAAUACCGGAUGAUAUUUUGAACCGCAUGGUUCAAAAGUGAAAGACGGUCUUGCUGUCACUUAUAGAUGGAUCCGCGCUGCAUUAGCUAGUUGGUAAGGUAACGGCUUACCAAGGCAACGAUGCAUAGCCGACCUGAGAGGGUGAUCGGCCACACUGGAACUGAGACACGGUCCAGACUCCUACGGGAGGCAGCAGUAGGGAAUCUUCCGCAAUGGGCGAAAGCCUGACGGAGCAACGCCGCGUGAGUGAUGAAGGUCUUCGGAUCGUAAAACUCUGUUAUUAGGGAAGAACAUAUGUGUAAGUAACUGUGCACAUCUUGACGGUACCUAAUCAGAAAGCCACGGCUAACUACGUG
rnacentral:rRNA from 1 species